CUAGGAUUUCCUGAUACUUCAAUGAAUCCAUCUCGCCUUCCACACGCUGCAGGUUUCCGGUGCCAGAGGAUGCAAAGCAGCCCCAGAGCACCACCGAGCCACCACCAUGCUCGACCGUGGACAGAGUGUUCUUUCUUCAUUCUUCUCCCUCCAGACAUACCGCUGAUCCAUCGUGCCGAAAAGUUCCAGUUUUGUUUCAUUGCUCAACAGAACAGGAUCCCAAAACUUCUGUGGCUUAUCUUGGCUGGAGGCACGUUAGGACGAGGAGAGAUUUCUUAGAGUACAUCAAAGACAGUAGAAUAAAAUAUGGAUCAGUGUGGCCUGACUGCUCCGACGGUACGGAAUCUGUCUGCAGUGGCUCCCGUAACCCGCGAGCGUGACAAAGACAGAGUGCGAG
ensembl:lncRNA